ensembl:lncRNA
ACUUACGAAACCCCACAAAGUUUUCACCCCGUGUUCGUGCUGUGAAGCGGUGCUUAAACCUGUGAGAGCGCAGCCCGCUGGCAUCUCUGUCAGCCUUUAGUGGAGAAAAACACCUUGGGCGCUCGGUGGGAGUUGUGCCGAAAUUAGUGGAAAAGCAGUCCUCAGCUGUACAAUUUUGCAGCCGUGUUAUGCACCUGGGAAAACUACCCUUCAUAUUAGAAUAUCUGUCACAUGCAGCUUGAAAGACACUGCAAGAGUAAAAGGGAUGGGAUCCUUACUCCUCCUCUUAGUAAUCGCAAGGGAUCAACGUGUUCCAUGUGAUCAAAGAAAGGUGAAACUUCUGUGACAACAAGAUGAAAACAGGUUUGCACUGCAUCCUGUGGGAUAUUAGAAUGAGCUGCCAAGAAGCUAGAAGACAGGUCUUUCUAGACAAAAUAUCUAGACCAUGGAGCAUAUGGCAGCCUCCAAGGAAGACAACAUGUCUCAGUCUGCUGGAGAACUCUUCCCUUGCAGGCGACUUCUUUGGGAGAUGAAGGGAGAUGCCAGGGAUUUGGAUAACGUUCACUCAUCUCAGUCUUGGGGAAAAAUCUAGAUGGGCUGAUACGUGUUUGAGGACAUUGUGGAUGACCUCCAGGGGGACCGAACUCAUCAGAAAUCAGGUAUUAAAGGGCCGCUUCACCACUCCUGUCCCAUGUGAGAAAUGCAGGCAGAAAAUAAAGAUUUUGAUACACACUGCAGCACUGGUUCCUGAUAAAUCAAUGUUCGAAAAGAAAAGAAAGAAGAGAAAAGAAGAGAAGAGAAGAGAAGAGAAGAGAAGAGAAGAGAAGAGAAGAGAAGAGAAGAGAAGAGAAGAGAAGAGAAGAAAAGAAAAGAAAAGAAAAGAAAAGAAAAGAAAAGAAA